rnacentral:lncRNA from 1 species
CUCAUCCUGAAGGAAAGUUCUUAACCCGAGGUAGUAUUUCUGGGUUAGCGGAGUCUGUAACCUGAAGCGUAUGUAACCUGAGGUACCACUGUAAUAUCUUCUCCUGAAAAUGAAAAUGCAGGUGUGUUGCACUGAAAAUGUACACCUGACAUGAAUUAAUACAUGUAACUUAUUAGGUCAGCCAGAUGUUGCAGGAGACAGGUGGAUCUGUUUAGGAACGGCUUCUGGAACCAAGCAUGGUUUUUUGAGUAAAUUCUAAAGAGGAAAAAUGUCUCUGGAACAGAGAACUCAAUAGUGCCCCCUCACCAGAUACAACCACACACAGUGUGGAGAUCAAAAUACUGAUAUCUCUAUUAGGAAUUCAGAGUUCUGAUGCGAUGGCUGUCAGUGGAGCUUCAAAACAUGUCCAUCAUCUUUUAAGUCUAGCACAGUCCAGAAGGAAUUAAGACUCACAGCUGUGACAGGGGAAGGCAGGACUGCCCAGUGACAAAGGGGAAGAUGGCAGCCUCGCAUUCCACAUUUGGGAGCAGCAAACUUGCUUAGGGAGUGAGCUAGCUUUGGGUUCUCCGGGGGUAUGGCUGCUGACUUACUGCCACCGCUGCCAGCAUCUUCUAUUCAAAUGUGAUUUUGGUUUUAAAUGCAGUGUAAGGUAGUCUCUAUGGGAGUACAGUG